rnacentral:rRNA from 1 species
UACGAAGGGGGCUAGCGUUGCUCGGAAUCACUGGGCGUAAAGCGCACGUAGGCGGGUCGUUAAGUCGGGGGUGAAAUCCUGGAGCUCAACUCCAGAACUGCCUUCGAUACUGGCGAUCUUGAGUCCGGGAGAGGUGAGUGGAACUGCGAGUGUAGAGGUGAAAUUCGUAGAUAUUCGCAAGAACACCAGUGGCGAAGGCGGCUCACUGGCCCGGUACUGACGCUGAGGUGCGAAAGCGUGGGGAGCAAACAGG